rnacentral:rRNA from 1 species
GACGAACCGUGCGAACGUUAUUCGGAAUCACUGGGCUUAAAGGGCGCGUAGGCGGGCUCGCAGGUCAGGGGUGAAAGCCCACGGCUCAACCGUGGAAGUGCCUUUGAUACCGUGAGUCUCGAGGGAGGUGGGGGCGUGCGGAACUUCCGGUGGAGCGGUGAAAUGCGUAGAUAUCGGAAGGAACAUCGGUGGCGAAAGCGGCGCGCUGGACCUCUUCUGACGCUGAGGCGCGAAAGCCAGGGGAGCAAACGGG